UAGCUUUAUAAAAGUAAAUUAAAACGAAUCUCUAUCAACUAUUGAAGAGUUAUUGGCGCACAAAUAAACAUUAUGCAUAUAUUCUUCACCUUUUUAAGUGUAAAAAUAAAUCAGAGAUAGGAUAUAUUGUGGCAUGCUAUCAAAGAUAUUUAAUCAAGUCAAAACAUGUUGAAGUAACACAACAGAAAGAAAAUGGAUGUUCAAUGAACUUCGACCACUUUAUGCCUACAUCUUUUUUUUUCAAUGCAGCUGAUAUCUAAAUGAAAUCCAAAUAUUCUUGCCAUAUCAUCGUGAAUUUCUAACUGUUCUGCAAAUUCUUUAAUCGCCAUAUCGAAAGACUUAGGAUUUUCAAAAUGUAAUAUAUUGCGACAUUUUCUAACUCUUCUUGAAGAUUUUUUCCGAUUUUCUUGUUUACGUGAAUUUAUCUGUUGGUCUAUUGGUUCGCCCUCCAAAUGUUCGUCCAAUAAGGCCAACAAUUCUUUUUCUGUUUUUUCACUCACUUUCAAUUGAGUCUCAAACUUUUCUACAUGAUUAUCGAUAUUGUUUUUAGGUUUAUGCCUGUGUUUUCUUCCCAUAGUGAAUUUUUCAAUCAAAUAGAACACGUACGAUAUACAAUCGUGAACAGAUUUUAAAGCAUGGUGCACGUGAAAAUUUAAGACAAUUAUAAUUAUCUGACACUCGGAUUUUGACAAUUUUCUGAAAGGGUGUGGAUGUGACACAAAAUUGUUUUGAAUAUAAACGCAACUGCCCAUUCUGCAUAACUUUGGUUUUGUGUCUGUCUGUGUGUCAGCCAAUCCUUGAACUACCUGAACUCAAUUUUUAUCGGAUUUUAAUGAAAUUUGAUAUAGGAUUUACGCGUUGAGCGUGCUCAAACCCGUUUCUCUUUUGACUGGUCCAAUUCUGAUGAAAUUUAAUAUGGAUUUGGCUGUUAUGUUAUAUUGAUAUGAAAACUGAAUAGAAUUAUUCAAUUUUU